GACGAACGCUGGCGGCGUGCCUAAUACAUGCAAGUUGAGCGCUGAAGGUUGGUACUUGUACCAACUGGAUGAGCAGCGAACGGGUGAGUAACGCGUGGGGAAUCUGCCUUUGAGCGGGGGACAACAUUUGGAAACGAAUGCUAAUACCGCAUAAAAACUUUAAACACAAGUUUUAAGUUUGAAAGAUGCAAUUGCAUCACUCAAAGAUGAUCCCGCGUUGUAUUAGCUAGUUGGUGAGGUAGAGGCUCACCAAGGCGAUGAUACAUAGCCGACCUGAGAGGGUGAUCGGCCACAUUGGGACUGAGACACGGCCCAAACUCUUACGGGAGGCAGCAGUAGGGAAUCUUCGGCAAUGGACGAAAGUCUGACCGAGCAACGCCGCGUGAGUGAAGAAGGUUUUCGGAUCGUAAAACUCUGUUGGUAGAGAAGAACGUUGGUGAGAGUGGAAAGCUCAUCAAGUGACGGUAACUACCCAGAAAGGGACGGCUAACUACGUG
rnacentral:rRNA from 1 species